UUCACAUUUAUUUGUAUAGAGCUUUUCACAAUACAUAUCGUUUCAAAGCAGCUUUACAGAUUUGGGGCCUUAUAGGUCAGCAGCAAUACUUUGUAAUCAAUAUGGAACUUUAUAGGUAACCAAUGUAGAGGUGAUAAAAAUAUCUAAUAUUUUUUUGACGUGGUAAGAACUCUAGCAGCUGCAUUUUGGACUAACUGUAUCUUGUUGAAUGGGGAUGCAGGACAGCCAGCUAGUAGUGCAUUACAAUAAUCCAUUCUAGAGGUCAUGAACACAUGAACUAGCUUUUCUGCAUCAUAAAACCAAUAACAAGUUCUGCAGCUUAGCCAUGUUUCUGAGGUGGAAGAAGGCUGUUUUUGUAACAUGAAAAAUUAUUUUUGAAAGACAACUUGCUGUCUAAUGUAACACCCAGGUCUUUAACUAAAGUAACAGUACAUCCUGAGAUGCAAAUUGUAUUCUAAGAGAUUCUGUGUAGAGGUUUUUUGUCCAAUUUAAUGUCUGAAUUUAAUAGAAUCCAUCCCCAUCCAAUAUUUUAUAUUUUUAACACACAAUUUGGAUAAUUUAGAGAUUUCUUCUGGUCAUGAUGAAAUGUAAAACUGAAAAUAGCAGAGGGCCUAAAACAGACCCUUGCGGCACUCCAUAAUUUACUGACAUUAACUUAGAUAAUUCCCUGUUUAAAUAAACAAAAUGGUAAUGGUCGGAUAGGUACAAUAUAAACAACCUUAAUGCCUGUCCCUGAAUACCAGUGUAAAUUUGUAAUCAAUCUAAGAGUAUGUCAUGAUCUAUAGCGUCGAACGCAGCAUUAAGAUCAAGUAAAACUAGUUUUGAGAUGCAGCCUUGGUCAGAAGCUAGAAGUAAAUCAUUUGUGAUUUUAACGAACACAGUUUCUGUGCUGUGAUGGGGCCUGAAUCCUGACUGAAAUUUUUCAUAGAGAUCAUUCUUUUGCAAAAGAAGCACAACUGAGCAGACACAACUUUUUCUAGUAUUUUAGACAUAAAUGGAAGAUUUGAAAAGGCUCUGUAAUUUGCCAAUUCAAUGUAAAACAAUGUAAAGCAAGUUAAAACAAUGUAAUGGACAUUUUUUUUUAGCUGUAUAGCAAAAUUAAAAUCUGGGUUAAUUGUUAAUAUAAUGCUAGAAAUGUGUUUAAUCAGUGUCUCUAAAUUAGUCUACAUUAAAUAUUUAAUUAUGAAUGUUUUGUCAGAAAACUUGUGUUGGACUAAUGAAAUGAUACAUUUCUUUGAAUUGCAGUUCUCUAAAUUCCUCUUCCUGUCUUUCCAGUUCAUCAUCCUGUGGGACAUAAACAUCUUGAAGUCUGAAUUUUGCCCAAUGCUGGUAUAUAGCUUAUUUAUAAAGGUGAAUUCAUUAAGGUGAUAAUUAUUUUGUAUUGAAUACCACACAAAAGACUAAAGCCACACUGGGGAAAUAAACUCCACAUGCAUGCAAUAAUUAAACAUGACAUUAUUUGUCAACAUAUAAUGGGCGUUUUGGAUCAAGACCAGGUUUUUACAGUCUAUUUAUCACAAGUGUAUAAUUGAACUCGUCUCACCAUACAACGCUGUGUAUGUCUGCCCAGAUGUCACCAUUAGGAGGAACAGCUCAUGCCACUGCUAAGAGGCAGAUGACCAUCUGGUGUGUAAUUUAUGACGGGUUAUGCCAGGAGUCAUGGCCCAGCCAGAACUGUAAUGUAUUGCCCCUCAAAUUAUCAUCAUACACAAAUGCUUAGUAUACACGAUACUAGUAACACAAGUGCAAUUCAAGCCAUUUAAAGCACUGGAUAAACAAAGGCAAAAUAUUUCAGGGCUAGUCAUUCUGCUUCCAUCAAGUGCAUCAGUUUACACAUCCACUUUCUCAUAGCUCAGGAACCCUGUUUCUGGAGGCACACCAAAACACAACACAUUUUCAAACUCAUUCUAAUCAAACACACCUGAUUCAACCAAUCAGCCAGUUAGAAGAGACUCCAAAGCUGUGUUCGAAAUCGCCCCCUGUACCCUCAUUCACACUUGAAGGAGUGAAUGAAAACGAGUGAAUUCAGACACUGAAUAGCUGCCGCUUUUUUGUGCUGGCUGCUUAAUAAUCAUUUGUAACUUGCAAACUGGCAGCUCCAGUAGUAAUGAAAAGAUUUCUGUCAUGGAAACUAGCAUCUAUAAACCUUAAUUAAACAAUUUAAAAAUCAAUUAAAAAGCCACAUUGGACCAGCGGUUUGGAAAAUACAUGGAUGAGUCAGCUUUGGGCGCCAUCAUCUGGCAAGACACAGGAAUUAAUUCGGCACAACCCUAACAGUGCAUUAUGGGAUUGAAUGAGUGCACUUGAUAAUGUCCACUAUAUGGUUUCAAAGGCCACUACAAAUGGCUGGCCCCUCAAAUAGUUAAGGGUAUAGGGGGUGAUUUAGGACACAGCCCGAAAUGAAUGGGUCAGAUAAGGGGGACAUCCAAAAUGUGCACUGUUAAUGUGACUCCAGGAACAGGGUUGGGGAACAUUGUCAUAGCUGAGGCCUACAAUAGUUCAUAUAAUAAGCAGUUAUGUGCAAAUGUUUGUUAUCAACUUAAUUAAAAGAGGAUUCCAAUUAGUAUGAGGGUGAACUGUUGUUGAAUCAUUGUUUGUGUUACGGGGAAUUACUGACUGAGGGCACAUGCUCUCACCAUCUGGCCUGCAUGAGAUAAGCUCUUGGACAUUGCCUUGAUAUGUAGCAUUUAAUAGUUGCACCAGUGGUUUUCUCCAUGUCUGCCUGUGUUACAGAGAUUCUCAAAGGAUUUCUUGAAAAAAUUUGAAGCAUUAUCGGCCUAACUGCACUAAAUACUAAAAAUACUAUGGAUUCUUGUUCUAAAUGUGUUGGAUGAUACUACUUUAAUUUCAAAUACCAUUUCACAUUUAACCUUGUAUUGACCUUCAGUGUUGCAGUGGUUUCUAUGAAUUAAAUUAUUUUGAACAAAUGGGUUUAUACAAGAUCAAUAAUCCUUUUAGAGUAAAAUUUAAAUUAUUCACUAAUGUGAAAAUCCAGAUUUUGCCUUUCAUUUUUUUAUCAUCUAUUAAAAAAAAAUAUUUUGAUUUUUUUUACCCAUUAUUUUCAUUGAAAGCUGCUCCGUAUAUAUCAUGUACACUGAUGGUGAUGUGACAAGGUCCUAGUUGUACACCGUCACUACUGGUAUUUAUGAACAACAGCAGAACUGAUAUUUUUUAUGUUAUUUAAAGUACAUUAUGAUAAAUACAUAGAUUGUCACUUAUAGGCUACUUGCAACAUUUCAGCCAUAAAUUAAUUAUAAAUGUUGGCUAAAUUAUGUUCAGGACCUGUCUAGCGAUGUUUAUGCUUAAAUAUAAUUACGUGUAUUGAGUUGGCUCAUAAGAUUUAUGUUUCACGCUUCAGUGUUUAAAGGGUUAGUUCACCCAAAAAUGAAAAUUCAGUCAUUAAUUACUCACCCUCAUGUAGUUCCACACCCGUAAGACCUUCGUUCAUCUUUGGAACACAAACUAACAGUUGAUGGGCCCCACUGACUUCCGUUGUAUUUUUUCCCAUACUAUGGAAGUCAGUGGGGCCAAUCAACUGUUUGGUUACCCAUAUCUUAUUUUGUGUUCAGCAUAAGAAAGAAAUUCAUACAGGUCAAAUACAUACUGAUCAGUGCCCUGACUACUGAACUAGGGAGCUUAUUGAGACGCACCCGAGGAGAAUUCACCCGUGUUAAAGUCUUGUUGUUGGGAGAUAUUAACUUUUUUAAAUCACCUGUUAGUUACGAGCUUUUUAGAGAAUUAUUUGCAUUAGAUGCUGUGUUCUUUGAGAUAAACAUUGUAUAAUGCUAAAACCUCAUCAUUCAAUCGUUCAAGCACUGUGAAACAUUGCAUUGUCUUUUUCAAAUAGUGACAUAACCCCUUAUCUACUUCAUGAACGGCAUCAAGCCAGUCCAAAGAAAGGCAAAAAAAUGGCCGCAGACCCAUUUUAAGUGACAGCUGCUCUUCUGCAACAAAGGGAGCCCUUCCCCCUCCAUGCUCAGCUGUGACCGUCCCCCGGCCCUUCGGCCCUCCCCCCACCUGAACAUGUGACAUUAUCCUGUCCCGCCUGCCUGUCCCCACCCACCAGCACCUAGCCAGCUGUAUGACUUUCAUAAUUUCAACACAAUGUCUGAUCCAGAAUCAGCCACCACUGACUCUCAUUUUACUCUCUGUUUAUCAAUCAUGUGAUUGACCUGAUAUUUUAAUGUUAAGCAUGUUUUUGAGAUGUUUUAAAUGUCUCUCAAAGGUUCAAAUUAUGAGAAUAUAUAUACUCAGUAUUUAUAUAUCUAUCAACUGAUCUCCGUGGCAAUGAAUAAACCAGGAGGGAAAUAGAUUAAAUAUCAAAUAUUCCUUUUAAAAGCAGAUAUUAGAAAAUAUGCAGCCUAAAAGAAAAGUGUAUGAUAAUGGCGUCCAGAGGUAUGACUUAAUUAAAAGACUUAAUUUGCAUUCAUAUUUUAAGGAUAAUUCAUCAGAAUCCAUAAAAACAGCUUUAUUACUGAGAUUUUCAUUAUGAAAUCAUAGCCAGCGGACAGAAUCAGUCCACUCAGAAUAGAAAGAGACUGCAUCAUCACAGAUGGUGCUUGAGGGCUUUGAUUGUGCUCAGUCAAGUACUUUCCUGUAAGUGUGUGUGCAUGCUUUUGUUUGAGCAUAUGUGGAUGUACGUGUCCUCAGUGGUGUGUGCAUUUCAAUUUAACAUGUGUUUGUAUGCAUGUGUUUUAGACCGACUGAGUGCUUUGCAGGCCUACGGAUAGCCUAAAGGCUCGACUUCUGUUUCUGAAUAUGUGGUUUAUUAUUCAGAGGGUUAAUAUGAUUUGAUUCACUGCUUUGGCUGCAGCUAGUUUAACCUGUUCAAUUCUGCUUGCAACUGCAUUUGUUUAUUUUAUGGCAUCACAACAAACACCUACUUAGCCUGCAUCUAGUUUGAAUUCAAACUGCAUUGACCCAUAGGCAAUACCUCUUAAAGGGUUAGUUCACCCAAAAAUGAAAAUUAAUUACUCAUUAUCAUUAAUUACUCACCCUCAUGUCGUUCCAAACCCGUAAGACCUUCGUUCAUCUUUGGAACACAAAUUAAUAUAUUUUUGAUGAAAUCUGAAAGCUUUCUGAUCUCCCUAUACUCAGCAAUGUCAUAACAUAUUUAGGGUACGUUUACAUGACAAAGAUAUGCUUAAAACGGAGAAGUUUUCCUUUUCAGUUUUCCAUGUACAGACGACACCAUUGUCAAAAUGAUCCCUAUUCACACGGAUCCGCGAAAACGACUAAAAAUGCUGUAUUCUGCUGUCAGGCCAUUAGAUGGCGAUGAAACACUAUAUAGACUGAACAUAUAAUACGCAUGUGCAUGACUUCAUAGUUUUCACAGAUUUGCAUUUUUGUUGUUUACACAGAGACCGUUUUCAAAAACUUGCACUUUGUAAUCUGUUUUCAAAAGUUUGUGUUUUCAGGCACCCAAAACGCUGUUGUCGUGUAAAUGAAUGGCCAAAAUGCAUUAAAAAGUUUUAUGUUUUUAGUUGAAAACGGUGUCGCGUAAAUAGCACCUUAAAGGCCCGGAAAGGUAGAAAAGACAUCGUUAAAAUAGUUAAUGUGACUACAGUGGUUCAACCUUAAUGUUAUGAAGCGACGAGAAUACUUUUUGUGCGCAAAACCAAAACAAAAAUAGCAAAUUUAUUCAAUAAUUUCUUCUCUUUCCUGUUAGUCUCCUACACUGUUGACGUUGUAAACAGAGCAGUGCUUCCAGGUUCCAUGUCAAAACGUUCCUUGCCACUGUCACCUUUGGCUUGGUUAGUUGGGGACUCAAUAUUUAGCAAUAUUAUUGAUUUGACUGUACUGACUCUAUUGGAUGAGAACUGAACUGAGCAGGACAAUUACAUCACUGUUUUCUACAGAGCUGCUUUGUAGCAGAACUCAUUUCAUAUUUGAUGAACUUUACACAGUAAUUAAAUGAAACUGAAUUAACACUAAACUGACCAAUGAUACUAAACUGAACAAUGAUACUAUAUAUUUUUUUCUUUUUAAAGCUUCUUUAUAGGAGAAUUGAAGUUUGUUUGCAUCACUGAAACAUUGUUUUCCUGUUUAUACUUGUAAAGCUGCUUUGAAACGAUCUGUAUUGUAUAAAUAUAAAUAAAUGUAACGUGACUUGA